rnacentral:lncRNA from 1 species
UAUAUAGUGAGGCUACUAUGCUAUCGGAAGCACGGAGCCUUCUGUACUUCCAGCUCGUUUUCGAUAUUGCGAUUUUCGAAUCGUCGAUCGGCUCCGUUAAACUUGAUCUAGAGUAUUUGGAAUAUAUAUAAAAUAAAUUUUAUUAUUUUUCGAUAUCAUUUGCCUAUUGAUCGAAUGGGCUCAAAAUUAACAAAUUUCAAUGGCCGUAGUGAGCCGUUUGCAAGUUUAACGGUGUAGAAAUAUCCAAAUCACGUGAAAUUUUGAUAGAAAAUUCUUUAUAUUAUAUAAAACAAGAUCAAUAUUUUUGAUUUAAAAUUUUAAUGUCAUAUUAUUACAUUUUGUAAGAUUUUAUUUUUCACUGUUGAUUUUGAGCCCCUUCGUUCACUAGGCAAAUGAUAUCGUAAAAUUAUAAAAUUUAUUUUCUAGGUACUUCAAAUACUCUAGAUCAAGUUUAACGAAGCCGAUCGACGAUUCGAAAGUCGCAACAUCGAAAACGAGCUGGAAGCACGAAAGGCUCCAUGCUUCCGAUAGCAUAGUAGCCUCACUCUAUAUAUAUAUAUUAGGAGCAAAGAAAUCUCCGCACUUCUAAGUAGUUUUUGAUGAUAGAGCUUCCGAAUCAAUGAUCAGCUCUGUUAGAUUUGAUUUAGGGUAUUUUAAAUAUUUUUUUAAAAAAUUAUAAUUUUUCGAUAUCAUUACCUAACGAUAAAAAAUGUUCAAAAUUUGAAAGGUGUUCAAAAUUUGAAAGGUUAAAAAUAAUAUUUUUUUAUUAACAUUUUAAACAAAAUAAAAUAAAAAAUUUAGAAAUUUUUCAAAAAUAUAUAAGCAAUUGUUUCUAAAUAUUAAAUUAUCU